rnacentral:rRNA from 1 species
AACGAACGCUGGCGGCAGGCCUAACACAUGCAAGUCGAACGCUCCGCAAGGGGAGUGGCGCACGGGUGAGUAACACGUGGGAACCUACCUUCUGGUACGGAACAACCAAGGGAAACUUUGGCUAAGACCGUAUACGACCUCCGGGUGAAAGAUUGAUCGCCGGAAGAGGGGCCCGCGUCCGAUUAGGUAGUUGGUGAGGUAACGGCUCACCAAGCCUUCGAUCGGUAGCUGGUCUGAGAGGAUGACCAGCCACACUGGGACUGAGACACGGCCAGACUCCUACGGGAGGCAGCAGUGGGGAAUAUUGGACAAUGGGCGCAAGCCUGAUCCAGCCAUGCCGCGUGAGUGAUGAA